rnacentral:rRNA from 1 species
CAAUAGCGUAUAUUUAAGUUGCUGCAGUUAAAAAGCUCGUAGUUGGAUUUCGGGUGGGAAUGGCCGGUCCGCCGUUUCGGUGUGCACUUGCUACGCCCACCUUGCUGCCGGGGACGUGCUCUUGAGUUCACGCUCGGGACACGGAGUCGGCGAGGUUACUUUGAGUAAAUUAGAGUGUUCAAAGCAGGCCUACGCUCUGAAUACAUUAGCAUGGAAUAACACGAUAGGACUCUGGCCUAUCUUGUUGGUCUGUAGGACCGGAGUAAUGAUUAAGAGGGACAGUCGGGGGCAUUCGUAUUUAAUUGUCAGAGGUGAAAUUCUUGGAUUUAUGAAAGACGAACUACUGCGAAAGCAUUUGCCAAGGAUGUUUUCAUUAA